UGUAUGUGUGCAGGUGUGCAGUCAGAGGGCAGGGCAGGUGUGUAUGUGUGCAGGUGUGCAGUCAGAGGGCAGGGCAGGUGUGUAUGUGUGCAGGUGUGCAGUCAGAGGGCAGGGCAGGUGUGUAUGUGUGCAGGUGUGCAGUCAGAGGGCAGGGCAGGUGUGUAUGUGUGCAGGUGUGCAGUCAGAGGGCAGGGC